GCCAGGUGUGGUGGUGCACGCCUGUAAUCCCAGUGGCUUGGGAGGCUGAGACAGAAGAAUCGGGAGUUCAAAGCCAGCUUCAGCAAUGGCAAGUCACUGAGCAACUCAGUGAGACCCUGUCUCUA
rnacentral:sRNA from 1 species